rnacentral:misc_RNA from 1 species
GAAUCUGAAGGAAUCAAGGAGGCUGCGUUCACAAACUUCACAGGUAUUGGUUACGCCUUUCCCAGGCCUAGGCUGUGGCCGUUCAUUCAAGAAGACGACUCUGGCGCUGUUGAUAAUGUAGGUUUGAACACCGGUUAUGUCAAGAACUUUCUGAAUCUCAGAAACCCUUAUCACAUCAUGAUAUGAAGAUCUUCUAAUCUGAAUAGCACGAUGGUCCUUAUGAAAAG